UCCGGCAUGGUCUAGUGGCUAGGAUACCUGGCUCUCACCCAGGAGGCCCGGUUCGAUUCCCGGUGUCGGAA
rnacentral:tRNA from 1 species